CAGUAUUGGCACUUUGUGAGCAUGUUCUCUUAGUUGACUUUAUCCAAAUAAUGAAGAGCGAAUAUGACAUUCAUAAAUCUGUUCGGCCAUUAUUUUAGUCUUUACCAGCCUUUAGAGACAGGAGAAAACAACCAGUUUGAAGGUUCCUGUAAGAAAAUUACUACAAUAAGGGUUGGCAUUUGACGUGUCUAAACUUUUAACGGUUAGUUUUUCAAAUUUUUAUUUUUUUUCAUUUUUUGAAGCUCCUUUACUCAGUUUACAAUAUUUUGUGUUUUCCCAAACAUAACUAGGACUAAAAUUGUACAUGGCUAUAGUUCAAUCAGUUGACUUUUGGACUUAGUACAUAAUUUUUUUGGAGAGUUCGGUUGUAUUUAAUAUAGACUAGGUAAUUUUUACAAAUUACAUAAUGUGAUCCGUUACAAAACCCGACCAAAGAAAAACUGACAUGCAAUACCUAUAAGCAUC
rnacentral:lncRNA from 1 species